UAGGGAAUAUUGGACAAUGGGUGAGAGCCUGAUCCAGCCAUGCCGCGUGCAGGAAGAAGGCGUUAUGCGUUGUAAACUGCUUUUUGCCAGGGGAUAAAAAGACCGUGCGCGGUUAAUUGAAGGUACCUGGUGAAUAAGCCACGGCUAACUACGUGCCAGCAGCCGCGGUAAUACGUAGGUGGCAAGCGUUGUCCGGAUUUAUUGGGUUUAAAGGGUGCGUAGGUGGCCCUGUAAGUCAGUGGUGAAAUAUCUCAGCUUAACUGAGAGGGUGCCAUUGAUACUGCAGGGCUUGAGUACAGAUGAGGUAGGCGGAAUUGACGGUGUAGCGGUGAAAUGCAUAGAUAUCGUCAAGAACACCGAUAGCGAAGGCAGCUUACCAAGCUGUAACUGACACUGAGGCACGAAAGUGUGGGGAUCAAACAGGAUUAGAUACCCUGGUAGUCCCUGAGCGGGCUGGCAAGGCGCAU
rnacentral:rRNA from 1 species